rnacentral:rRNA from 1 species
AUUGAACGCUGGCGGCAGGCCUAACACAUGCAAGUCGAGCGAGCGGCGGACGGGUGAGUAAUGUCUGGGACACUGCCUGAUGGAGGGGGAUCACUACUGGAAACUGUCGCUAAUACCGCAUCCUCUCGGAUGUCCCCAGAGGGGUUUGGCUAGUAGGUGGGGUAAAGGCUCACCUAGGCGACGAUCCCUAGCUGGUCUGAGAGGAUGACCAGCCACACUGGAACUGAGACACGGUCCAGACGCCUACGGGAGGCAGCAGUGGGGAAUAUUGCACAAUGGGCGCAAGCCUGAUGCAGCCAUGCCGCGUGUAUGAAGAAGGCCUUCGGGUUGUAAAGUACUUUCAGCGGGGAGGCGUUACCCGCAGAAGAAGCACCGGCUAACUCCGUGCCAGCAGCCGCGGUAAUAC